GCUGAACGCUUUCUUCUUUCCUAAUACAUGCAAGUCGAGCGAACGGACGAGAAGCUUGCUUCUCUGAUGUUAGCGGCGGACGGGUGAGUAACACGUGUAUAACCUACCUAUAAGACUGGUAUAACUUCGGGAAACCGGAUCUAAUACCGUAUGAUAUUUUGAACCGCAUGGUUCAAUAGUGAAAUACGGUCUUUCUGUCUCUUAUAGAUGGAUCCGCGCUGCAUUAGCUAGUUGGUAAGGUAACGGCUUACCAAGGCGACGAUGCAUAGCCGACCUGAGAGGGUGAUCGGCCACACUGGAACUGAGACACGGUCCAGACUCCUAAGGGAGGCAGCAGUAGGGAAUCUGCCGCAAUGGGCGAAAGCAUGACGGAGCAACGCCGCGUGAGUGAUGAAGGUCUUCGGAUCGUAAAACUCUGUUAUUAGGGAAGAACAUAUGUGUAAGUAAAUGUGCACAUAUUGACGGUAACUAAUCAGAAAGCAACGGCUAACUACGUG
rnacentral:rRNA from 1 species